rnacentral:rRNA from 1 species
GACGAACGCUGGCGGCGUGCUUAACACAUGCAAGUCGAACGGCAAGGCCCUGCUUUUGUGGGGUGCUCGAGUGGCGAACGGGUGAGUAACACGUGAGUAACCUGCCCUUGACUUUGGGAUAGCUUCAGGAAACUGGGGCUACUCCAGGAUAGGAGCUCCUGCUGCAUGGUGGGGGUUGGAAAGUUUCGGCGGUUGGGGAUGGACUCGCGGCUUAUCAGCUUGUUGGUGGGGUAGUGGUUUACCAAGGCUUUGACGGGUCGCCGGCCUGUGAGGGUGACCGGCCACAUUGGGACUGAGAGACGGCCCAGAGUCCUACGGGAGGCAGCAGUGGGGAAUAUUGCACAAUGGGCGGAAGCCUGAUGCAGAGACGCCGCGUGCGGGAUGACGGCCUUCGGGUUGUAAACCGCUUUCGCCUGUGACGAAGCGUGAGUGACGGUAAUGGGUAAAGAAGCACCGGCUAACUACGUG